AAAUGUUUUUAAAAAUUGGAUCAGCUCAUCAGUAAACAAAUUAUGUAAUUAACAAAAAAGGUUUUUAAAAAAUGUUUACGGGCCAAAAAUAUUAAUUCGAUCAAGAAUAUAAAUUUUAUUUUUUCAUACGAUAUUUCUUAAAUAAUUUUUAUCUAAAUUCACACUACGCAAGGCGCAUGUUUUAUCCUAGUUAGAUAUUAUAUAAAAAAAAACUAUUUAACAUAGCCUCAUUAAUAGUUUAAUGGGUAAGCAAAAAUCCAAAAACAUAUAUUAGAAUGAAAACAUGCAUGGGUUUUUAAGAAACCAAACAAAAUAUGAAAACAAUUGUUUUCCCUAAAAUCCGCUUAAAUGAUUUGUUCUAUAGUUUCUUACAUUUUAGAUGAAAAAGAUGUGUGUUUUAUGGUUCUGCUAAACUAAACUACAGUAGCUUUUAUAAUUAUAGAUUCAUAAAAAAAAAAAAAUUUCUCUAUCGCCUUGGGCUUCUGUUAGUGCCCGCACGGCUCUGUGUCUAUGGUUCAUAAUGUCAUUGACACACUUAUGAUAUGCAAACAACCAUCCAC
rnacentral:lncRNA from 1 species